GGCAGUCCGGAACCCGCGCUGCUAAGGGGGCUGGCCAUGGGGUGGCUGUCUCGCGGGUGGGGGGGGGGGAGAAGGAUAUGCAAGAGAAGGGGGCUCCUGAUGCACCUGGAUGAGGCGCAUCUCGGGGAGAGCGAGGAGGUGGGAGCUCUGCGUGGACCGGACUUGGAUGCUCUGAGCGCGGGGAGAGCAGCUCAUUUCUCAAACCCCCCCCCCCGCUUCUCAAUGAGAGAAUCCUGCUUUUUUUUUCACCUUUCAUUUUCUAUUGCACGAAUUUAUUUAUUUAUUUGAUCGAUUUUUAGACCACCCUUACAAAAUAGCUCAGGGCGGUUCACAAACAUCAAAGACCCUUUAAAACAAUUUAAGAGCACUGGAAGGCCCAGCAGAACAGGUAGGUCUUUAGGGCUCUGCUAAUUUCCAAUACAGAAUUCAAAUUACGGAUGUCUGCAGGGAGCGCAUUCCACAGUCCAGGAGCGGCUACAGAGAAGGCCCGCCUCUGGGUCGCCACCAGACGAGCUGGUGGCAACUGGAGCCAGACCUCAGAUGAUCUUGGCGUGCGGUGGGGAUCAGACCGAAGAAGGCGCUCUCUAAGGAGUCACUGAAUCCAUAGCCAGACUGAAUGCUUCCCACAGAUACCUGCCAGUACAUUCCUGACUUGGGAGAGAGCUUUUGGUGGUAAGGAUGAAGGAAGGAAAAGAGAGGCCUCCUGAUAAAGUAGGGGAAGCUUAAGUUAGAGAAAAACAACAAGGAGAAUUCAGAAUCAGGAUAGAAAGAAGGAGGAACCACAGCAGCUGUGAACAAGAAAUGCAAGGCAAUAAAAAUUCCUCCAUAUAAUCACAGGCAGCCGAGGGUCAGAUAAAUUGCAAUCCAUCACCCUUUAAGUUGGGAACUCCCUUGGAUUCUGAAUAGAAAGUGAACCAAAAGGAAACUCGCUGCUUCCUGUAUCAUCCUUCUGGGGAUCCUGAAAGUGUCGGCAAAACACUUAAGACAACAUUUUUGUUGGAGAGCGGAAGGAAAGGAAACUGUGAACAAGCAAACAGCACUCAACUCCAGGAGUCGAGGUAUAAGCAGCCAGCUUUUGAUGGAACAAGGAACAUCAGUGAGCACUAUUUGUUUAAAAAAUAAUAAACCACAUUUCUGGUCCACUAAAAUAUGCACCUCCCUACUGCAGCAUUGUGAUUGUGGAUCAGGAUUUUAGGUUGUUGCAGUAUUGCUCUAUUGCACCAUUGAAAGAUGGCUUUAGAAUUUACAUAUUAAAGACUGGUUUGUCCUGCUAA